GACAGAGGUGCCGAGCGUUAGGCGGAAUCACUGGGCUUAAAGCGUGUGUAGGCGGACCGUUAAGUACCUUGUGAAAUCCCCCGGCUCAACCGGGGAACGGCUGGGUAUACUGGCGGUCUUGAGCCAUCCAGGGGCAGUCGGAACAGACGGUGGAGCGGUGAAAUGCGUAGAUAUCGUCUGGAACGCCGAAGGUGAAAACAGACUGCUGGGGAUGAGCUGACGCUGAGACACGAAAGCCAGGGGAGCGAACGGG
rnacentral:rRNA from 1 species